UCAGUUAUGAGUGUGCAAGGGAGAUUUUCCCAACAGUGGUAUCAGAGCCGAUAGUUUGGUUGGUAAUGCUUCCGCUGGAGGGGGAGUGAGUGAGAGAAAAAGGAAAAAAGAAAAAAAAAGGAGUGAGAGGGAAAAUCAAAUAUCGAGAGAAAAAAAAGGAGAGGGGAGACUCUAAAGAGAAAAAGGAGAACAAAAAAUGAGAAAAAAAAAUGAGAGAAAAGAGUCAAAUACCCAGAGCGAAAAAGAUAGAGAGAAAAGAGUCUGAGUGUCCGAAAAAAAGAACAGAAAGGAAAGAAGAAAGAGAGAUUAAGAGAGUUUUAAUCUUGCAAAAAACGUUUUUCUAGGUCAGUUUUUUGGCCAAGAGAGUGACGUAGGCCGCAGGCGUACAAGGGAGACGUAGGCCGCAGGCGUACAAGGGAGACGCAGGCCGCAGGCGUACAAGGGAGACGCAGGCCGCAGGCGUACAAGGGAGACGCAGGCCGCACGCGUACAAGGGAGACGCAGGCCGCACGCGUACAAG
rnacentral:lncRNA from 1 species